GAUGAACGCUGGCGGCGUGCCUAACACAUGCAAGUCGAGCGAACAGACGAGGAGCUUGCUGCGCUGACGUUAGCGGCGGACGGGUGAGUAACCCGUGGAUAACCUACCCAUAUGACUGGGACAACUUCGGGAAACCGGGGCGAGUACCGGAUAAUAUAUUGAACCGCAUGGUUCAAUAGUGAAAGAUGGUUUUGCUGUCACUUCUAGAUGGUACCGCGCCGCUUUAGCUAGGGGGUAAGGUAACGGCUUACCACGGCAACGAUGCAUAGCCGACCUGAGAGAGGGUUCGGCGCCAGUGGGACUGAGACACCGUCCAGACUCCGACGGGAAGCAGGAGUAGGGAAUCAUCGGAAGUGGGAGUGAGCAUGUCGCAGCAACGCGGCAAGGGUGAAGAGGGUCAUGGGGUCUGAAAGCUCUGUUCUUAGGGAAGAACAACUGCGUAAGUAGGUGAACAAGUAUUGACGGUACCUAGUCAAAAAGCAACGGCUAACUACGUG
rnacentral:rRNA from 1 species